UACGAAGGGGGCUAGCGUUGCUCGGAAUCACUGGGCGUAAAGGGUGCGUAGGCGGGUCUUUAAGUCAGGGGUGAAAUCCUGGAGCUCAACUCCAGAACUGCCUUUGAUACUGAGGAUCUUGAGUUCGGGAGAGGUGAGUGGAACUGCGAGUGUAGAGGUGAAAUUCGUAGAUAUUCGCAAGAACACCAGUGGCGAAGGCGGCUCACUGGCCCGAUACUGACGCUGAGGCACGAAAGCGAUGGGGAGCAAACGGGGA
rnacentral:rRNA from 1 species